UCUACAGUGUAGCGGUUAGCACAUCGGAUUCUGAACAUCAGAAGCUUCCGGUAACCCCGGUUCGAUUCCGGGUACGAC